GCUCGGCGGGAGACGGGUAGCGGGAAGCCGCCGAGGGUGGCUCGCCUGGUAAAGAAGGGAGACGGAAACGGGACAUUAAUCCGGUUUUUCCUCAGCGAGUAAUAAGAAGAGCGGACGUUGUAUCGGUCUAUGGGAGUUUGCCGUUUUCAAACCGCUAGCAAGAUUUGAACAUUAGCCUCACUUGACUCACUUAUAUCCAACUCUUUUAUGCUUUCAUCGAUCACCUCUGACUCAAAUUGGCUGGCGAUUGUUCCAGGGGUUGGCCUACCUCUCGCGUCUGUUGGGAUGCGCCGCAGCUCUUUUGAAAAUGGUCGCGGUGCUCAAACCGUGACGAAAAAUGGUUGCGGAUGGAUCGGCAAGACCGAGCCGUGAUUGAAUCGCAAGCGGAGAAGUCGACGGCGGGUUACAAACGGCGGCUGGAUUUAAAUGUCAUUAGCCGGGUAAUUUCAAGGCUGCUUAACGCUAAGCGACGGUGUAAAGGUUGGGGGGGAAAAAAGGCGGCCCCGUUUCAAACCAACGAGGCCCGGGCCGUCCGUUGCAGCCAGCUCGGAGUGUGUCGCUUUCAUUAAAGUGGACGCGAGUCAGCUGGGAUCAUCUAAAGAGAAGACUGUGAUCUGCAGUGAGAGUAAAAAAAAGUACACUUCAUUUAAUUCUCAAUAACAAAACCAAUUCCAGCUUUUGCGGGGGCGAGCGAGCUUGCUCCCGUCUCAAAUUGAUUCGGGAGUUUAUUUCGUUUAAGGCCCGCGGUGAGCGCCCCCCCCCCCUCCCUACCUCCUCCUACCACCCACCACGCCUGUGAAAAUGAUUCAAUCGACACGAUCCUUCCCAUGAAAGAAAGAAAUUGGGUGUUUAAAAUGGAGGGAAGAAGGCGAGGAGGAAUGUUCAAUCCAGGAGGGAAUUGAACAGAAACACCACAAAGCAAAACAAUGCUUGCUUAGUAUGAGGAGCGCUACCACCGAAAACGAUAACAUCCGCCACGUCGGGACUGGAGAGACCUUAAUACUCAUGGUGUGUAACAUGAUCCAUUUCUGAGCCGUUUUUUUUAACAAGCUUUCCCAUCGGGAAAAAAUAAAAAAAUAGAAAUCACAGGGUCACUGUUGCCAUUACGAAACAUGUACUGCAGGUUGUCGGAUUACGACGAGGUUGCGUUUUUUGUGCGCCUUUCUAAUUAGUUUGUCAGAACGUGCCUCACUCCCCCCCC